rnacentral:rRNA from 1 species
GACGAACCGAGCGAACGUUGUUCGGAAUCAUUGGGCGUAAAGAGCGUGUAGGCGGUCCGGUAAGUCCGCUGUGAAAGUCGGGGGCUCAACCCUCGAAUGCCGGUGGAUACUGUCGGGCUAGAGUGCGGAAGAGGCGAGUGGAAUUCCUGGUGUAGCGGUGAAAUGCGCAGAUAUCAGGAGGAACACCUAUUGCGAAGGCAGCUCGCUGGGACGUAACUGACGCUGAGACGCGAAAGCGUGGGGAGCAAACAGG